AGAAGAGAAGCCCAGGGCUGCCCCUCCGGCCAAUCAGAGCGCUCGAGCCCGACCCGCUCUCACCAAUCCACGCUAAGGGGGUGGGACGUUUGGGUUUCCUCUGGGAAACCAUAGAGAAGCCCUGCUGAGAAGGGCUUGAAAGCUGAGCGUGCGAUUACUACGGGGGGUUGUGUUGCUUUUCGGUGGUGAGUUUGCGGUAGCAACGAAGGAAGGAAGGAAGCAAGGAAGGAGCAGGUUCGACUCUGGCUUUGAUAGUACUUUCUUUCCUCCCCGGAUGAAUGAAAGAUGCAUCUCUGUCAUAAAAUCUCUGCAGCAAGAAGAUUCUUUGUAAAAGGAAUUCUCUGGUUUAAAUAUUUUGAAAUCUUUUUCCUUUGCACAUAUGGUACAUGUAAGUGUAGAAAGCAUGAUAUCAAAGUAGGUCAAAAUAUGUUUUGCUGGAUCAUCUUAGAUGGUUUGGAUAAUAUACCAAGCUCAGCUGGUUCAAUAAAGUGGUUUUUGUGAGAAGUUA